AUUACUAAGCGGAGGAAAAGAAACUAACCAGGAUUCCCCUAGUAACGGCGAGUGAAGCGGGAAGAGCCCAGCGCCGAAUCUCCUGUCUUCGGGCAGCGAGAACUGUGGCGUUCUGGACGUCGAUUGUCAAGCGGUUCCGCCGUCCGAGUCCUCCUGAUAGGGGCUUCACCCAUGGCGGGUGUCAGGCCUCUACGGCCGCGGGCUGUUUGGCUGUAGGCGUCCUUGGAGUCGGGUUGUUCGGGAUUGCAGCCCAAAGUGGGUGGUAAACUCCAUCUAAGGCUAAAUACUGACACGAGACCGAUAGCGGACAAGUACCGUGAGGGAAAGUUGAAAAGAACUUUG
rnacentral:rRNA from 1 species